rnacentral:rRNA from 1 species
UGCAAGUCGAGCGGCAGCGGGUCCUUCGGGAUGCCGGCGAGCGGCGGACGGGUGAGUAAUGCCUAGGAAUCUGCCUGGUAGUGGGGGAUAACUCGGGGAAACUCGAGCUAAUACCGCAUACGUCCUACGGGAGAAAGCGGGGGAUCUUCGGACCUCGCGCUACCAGAUGAGCCUAAGUCGGAUUAGCUAGUUGGUGAGGUAAAGGCUCACCAAGGCGACGAUCCGUAGCUGGUCUGAGAGGAUGAUCAGCCACACUGGAACUGAGACACGGUCCAGACUCCUACGGGAGGCAGCAGUGGGGAAUAUUGGACAAUGGGCGAAAGCCUGAUCCAGCCAUGCCGCGUGUGUGAAGAAGGUCUUCGGAUUGUAAAGCACUUUAAGUUGGGAGGAAGGGCAGUAAGCUAAUACCUUGCUGUUUUGACGUUACCGACAGAAUAAGCACCGGCUAACUUCGUGCCAGCAGCCGCGGUAAU